CCUCCCUCGAUCUUAAAUGCAGAACCCAGGGCCUCCCUACACGUUCCAGCUCACCUUGCUUGGCUUCCUCACCAGCCACUGGGCCUCCCAGCCACUGAAGCAGCAACAAAAACUCUCACACAGCAUCUCCAGAGGCUCUCUGGACUUCCACCAUCAGCUGAUGUAAAAAAUGUGAAAAGAUUUUUCCAAAAAUGACAAGAUGCUCUACACAGAGACUUGGAUGUCACUUGGCUCCUCGCUUAGAAAUGGCUUAGGAACCUUAUUGUGAAAGCAAGUCCUGCAGUAUUUCAGGAACAGGUUAUCCAGAGGACCCAAGGCAUGGUGGUUGCUAACAGACUUCCCACAGUACUUCUUCAUUCCAUGUGGACUCCUUCAAGGGCAGUGAGCAUCACAGCUUCCCUUGAACUUUGUCUGGAUGUGUCUUAUAUACCUUCUUGCAUGAUUGGAUCGAGAAACUUUCAGAUGGCUAACCUAGAGGAGCCAAGACAUGCAGGCAUACCAGUACCCCACAUGGAUUCUCCUGAGAAAUAUCCUAAUGUGAAGCUUGCACUCUUAGUGAAAGAUUCUGUUCCUAGUAAAACAGUCGGAAUGAAGGAUUUACAAACAUCCACUUCAGGUAAAUUUUGCAAUACACACAUAACUAUGAAAAGAGGGACACUGAAGUAUUUGAAAUGCUCAGUCUUCAUACUGCUAACUUUUAUUUUCAAAUUUAAUUGAAGC
rnacentral:lncRNA from 1 species